rnacentral:misc_RNA from 1 species
GAUGAAGAACGCAGCGAAAUGCGAUAAGUAGUGUGAAUUGCAGAAUUCAGUGAAUCAUCGAAUCUUUGAACGCACAUUGCGCCCCUUGGUACUCCAUGGGGCAUGCCUGUUCGAGCGUCAUUUGUACCUUCAAGCUCUGCUUGGUGUUGGGUGUUUGUCUCGCCUCUGCGUGUAGACUCGCCUCAAAACAAUUGGCAGCCGGCGUAUUGAUUUCGGAGCGCAGUACAUCUCGCGCUUUGCACUCAUAACGACGACGUCCAAAAGUACAUUUUUACACUCUUGACCUCGGAUCAGGUAGGGAUACCCGCUGAACUUAAGCAUAUCAAUAAGCGGAGGA